rnacentral:rRNA from 1 species
UGGGGAAUUUUGGACAAUGGGCGCAAGCCUGAUCCAGCAAUGCCGCGUGCAGGAUGAAGGCCUUCGGGUUGUAAACUGCUUUUGUACGGAACGAAAAAGCUCUCUCUAAUACAGGGGGUGAAUGACGGUACGGUAAGAAUAAGCACCGGCUAACUACGUGCCAGCAGCCGCGGUAAUACGGUGGGUGCAAGAGUUAAUCGGAUUUACUGGGCGUAAAGCGUGCGCAGGCGGUUUUGUAAGACAGAGGUGAAAUCCCCGGGCUCAACCUGGGAACUGCCUUUGUGACUGCAAAGCUGGAGUGCGGCAGAGGGGGAUGGAAUUCCGCGUGUAGCAGUGAAAUGCGUCGAUAUGCGGAGGAACACCGAUGGCGAAGGCAAUCCCCUGGGCCUGCACUGACGCUCAGGCACGAAAGCGUGGG